GUAAUAAUCAUCCAAAAUUUGACAAAGACUUGUGGUCACGAGCUAAGGGCAAGAAUAAAGGAAAAGUGUACGGGUUAGGCAAUGUUAGUGACUCGUGUGUACAUAGCAGAGAAGACCCUAAGAUUGAAAAGUUGAACUUAGUUAUCAAGGAGCUCGUUAAGGAAAAAGAUGAA